CCCGCCGGCGACCGGCGCACGGGUGAGUAACACGUAUGCAACCUGGCCGCCACAGGGGGAUAACCCGCGGAAACGCGGCCUAAUACCCCGUGACGCCACCGGAGGGCAUCCUCCGGUGGCCAAAGGAGCGAUCCGGUGGCGGAUGGGCAUGCGGCGCAUUAGCUAGACGGCGGGGUGACGGCCCACCGUGGCGACGAUGCGUAGGGGUUCUGAGAGGAAGGCCCCCCACACUGGGACUGAGACACGGCCCAGACUCCUACGGGAGGCAGCAG
rnacentral:rRNA from 1 species